rnacentral:rRNA from 1 species
AAUGAACGUUGGCGGCGUGGAUUAGGCAUGCAAGCCGUGCGGCAGCAGGCCCCGCAAGGGGUGCUGGCGAGCGGCGAAAGGGUCAGUAACACGUGGAUAACCUACCCUCGGGCCCGGGAUAGCGGCGGGAAACUGCCGGUAAUACAGGAUAAUGUCCCUGGAACAAAGGUGUGAUUCCGUCCGAGGAUGGGUCAGCGUCCUAUUAGCUAGUUGGUGAGGUAACGGCCCACCAAUGCAAAGAUGGGUAGGGGGUGUUAGAGCAUGAUCCCCGACACUGGGACUGAGACACUGCCCAGACACCUACGGGUGGCUGCAGUCGAGAAUCUUCGGCAAUGGGCGCAAGCCUGACCGAGCGACGCCGCGUGCGGGAUGAAGGCCUUCGGGUUGUAAACCGCUGUCAGAGGGGCGGAAUUUUAUUGGGGUUCUCCCCAGUAAUUGACUUAACCUCAGAGGAAGCAUGGGCUAAGUUCGUGCCAGCCGCCGCCGUAACAC